rnacentral:rRNA from 1 species
UAAAAAUGACACGGUCGAAAAUGCCAUGCUUGCUUCGCUAUUUUUUUGUCGGCGCUCGGUGGCUACGGGAGGGGCGUGCGCUGGACGAGAGGGAGGCGUGCGGUUACGUCGGCAGCGGAGGAGACGCGCAAAUAGUCGCAGCGACCUAAACCCCUCGGUGGCCGCGCGCCCUGCGCGGGGUGGCGCGGAGGGAAGGGUGGGUGCGCCGACGCCCGCUCCCGGGAGGACUAGAGGGAGGCGACUCCUGGGAUAGGAGGAGCCGCAGUCGCUGCCGAUGUACGGGGAGUUCCCGCAGUAGGUCCAGCUCUCCGGGCCGGUCUGGCUGUGGGUCAGGUUCGACCACUUAAAGUAGUAGGCGGGACGGGUCUCGACUGAUGUCAGGUUUGUUACUAGAUACCCUCGUCCUAAAUACGAGUUCUCUUCUACCAAAGUAUCCUUCCUGGACCUCCAAUAUAUACAAAAUAUAAAGGCGCAAUGCCACUAUUGUCUAAUUAUCGUUGUAGUCUUAAAGGAACCAAGAUAAUAUAAUGAAGACAUACGUACUAUGUGUAAUCUUUUUUUUGAGGUGGAACCAACGGUCUUUUGAGUAUAGUUAGACAACCGGAGUAACAGACGAUUUUUUAGUACUUACCUUUAAACCUAAGAUAAUAGUUACCGUAAUUUCUAUAUUUAUCGUACCAGCAAGAAAUUCUGUCACAAAUUAAACUUUAGUAAAUUGUUCACUCCGUCCAAGUCAAAACUUGUUACGUUCAUCCUACGUUCCCUAUUUGUCCUUUAGACGAUCCGACUACGCGGCCUCUCUGCAUGGUCCUCCGGCUGGUCAGGCACCACAGCGGCGGCAGCAGGAGCAGGGAGUACGUGUCGCUGUCUCUCUCUGCUAGACAGACCUCUAGCUCAUAUCCUAGAUCAUGACCAUUAUAGGACGUCCGCAACCUUCUCAUGGACGGUCAGAACGAUCCUAACCAAUUUCUUCUCCGUACCUUGUACGAGCCGGGGACGACAUGUCCUUCUUAAUGUCAUGAAGUGAUGACGGGCACUAGAGAUGUAGUCUAUAUUACAAUGUCCUUAUGACCGCUAGCCCCUAUAGAACUAGAGGUUGCCAUCUUUUACACGUGAGUCACUACAGUAAGUAUGAUAACUAUGAUAGUUUGUAAGCAAACCCCCGAGUGACGUCUAGUAGACGUUCUUCUCGAGUCAAGUUCUUGAUUCCGAUACGAAACGGUUUCUAAACUUCCACUCAAUAGAAAACAGGAACCUU